UACGUAGGGUGCAAGCGUUGUCCGGAAUUAUUGGGCGUAAAGAGCUCGUAGGCGGUUUGUCGCGUUCUGCUGUGAAAACGCGAGGCUCAACCUCGCGCCUGCAGUGGGUACGGGCAGACUAGAGUGCGGUAGGGGAGACUGGAAUUCCUGGUGUAGCGGUGAAAUGCGCAGAUAAUCAGGAGGAACACCGGUGGCGAAGGGCGGG
rnacentral:rRNA from 1 species